rnacentral:lncRNA from 1 species
GGAUAUAUGUUCAGGGUAGUGCAUCUUUUGUACAGAUGGAGGGUGCUGUCAUGAGCUUAGUGUUAGUCAUCUCUCAGUUCAAGAAGAAAGUCAGUUUCAAUUACUUUAUGAAGGUUAUACUUCCGCCUUUGACAGCUUCAGUCGGCAUGAUAAGAGUGGCGGAAUACAUAAGAGUGGCGGAAUUCUUUGACAAUAUAAAACCAUCAAACUAUCUGGAUGACUGAUGGGUGUUGCCGUCCAAUCAAAUUUGAUGUGCAGUUUAAAGUGCAGUAUAACUAGGGAAUGACCCCUAGGUCGUCUCCCAAAGACCAAUUUUGCGGUUCAGAAUCAAGUCAAACACACACAGUGGGGGGUUUUGAAAUUGGUUUUGUUUGUGAAUGCAACUGACGAAAUUAAAAAUAA